rnacentral:rRNA from 1 species
UAGGGGUUCUGAGAGGAUGAUCCCCCACACUGGUACUGAGACACGGACCAGACUCCUACGGGAGGCAGCAGUAGGGAAUAUUGGGCAAUGGUCGAGAGACUGACCCAGCCAUGCCGCGUGCAGGAAGACGGCCUUAUGGGUUGUAAACUGCUUUUACACAGGGGUAACAGUAGGUACGUGUACCUAUUUGAAAGUACUGUGAGAAUAAGGAUCGGCUAACUCCGUGCCAGCAGCCGCGGUAAUACGGAGGAUCCAAGCGUUAUCCGGAUUUAUUGGGUUUAAAGGGUGCGCAGGCGGAAUAGUAAGUCAGCGGUGAAAUCUCUCGGCUUAACCGAGGAACUGCCGUUGAUACUGCUAAUCUAGAGUUUAGACGGCGUAGGCGGAAUAUGUCAAGUAGCGGUGAAAUGCGUAGAUAUGACAUAGAACACCGAUAGGGUAGCCAGCUUACGAGGCUAAUACUGACGCUCAAGCACGAAAGCGUGGGGAUCAAACAGGAUUAGAUACCCUGGUAGUCCACGCAGUAAACGAUGAUCACUCGUUGUCGGCGAUAUACCGCCGGUGGCCAAGCGAAAGUGAUAAGUGAUCCACCUGGGGAGUACGUUCGCAAGUAUGAAACUCAAAGGAAUUGACGGGGGCCCGCACAAGCGGAGGAGCAUGUGGUUGAACCUUACCUAGACUUGAACGUAUUUGGAAUGAAGUGGAAACAUUUCAGUCAGCAAUGACCAUUUACGAGGUGCUGCAUGGUUGUCGUCAGCUCGUGCCGUGAGGUGUUAGGUUAAGUCCUGCAACGAGCGCAACCCUUACUGUUAGUUACCAGCAUGUCAUGAUGGGGACUCUAGCGGAACUGCCGGCGCAAGCCGUGAGGAAGGUGGGGAUGACGUCAAAUCAGCACGGCCCUUACGUCUAGGGCGACACACGUGCUACAAUGGGCGGUACAGAGGGCAGCUACCACGCGAGUGGAUGCCAAUCUCGAAAGCCGUUCUCAGUUCGGAUUGGAGUCUGCAACCCGACUCCAUGAAGUUGGAUUCGCUAGUAAUCGCGCAUCAGCCAUGGCGCGGUGAAUACGUUCCCGGGCCUUGUA